rnacentral:lncRNA from 1 species
UUCUCAGUCACAUGUAUUACUAAAAAAAAUGAAAGCAAAACAUGGCAUGCGAAGAUCACGGGCAACGGAAUUAAAUUUGACCUUCAUAUAUCAUAACAAUCACAAGUAAUGCAGGAAUCUUAUUUGCCAAACCAUAAAUUAACAAAAGGAGAAAAGGUUAAAAUUCAACAAUAAGAGUAAAUAAGCCUAAGAUCAAGAUAUGACAAAUCCAAAUAAAUCAGAUACGAGAAUCAAGAUAAUCAAGCAAAAAGCCUCUUCUUUUAGUGGGAAAGUAGAAACUUCAUUACUAUAAGAAUAAAAGUCCGAUGGUCAAAUAAAUGUCUAUCACAAAGUCAAGGCGUUAUGCACUCAUACAUCAAACAUCCACUUUCAAUGUCCCAUAUUAUAAUAUUGAGUUCCAAUUCUCAAUCAGGAUUGAAACUCCGAUUCUCUUAAAAUUGCUAGUCCUGAUUUUAAUUUCUUAGAAAUUUCAUAUCAGCAUCAAUACUGCUUUCAUUGCUUCAGAUCAAGA